rnacentral:rRNA from 1 species
UACGAAGGGGGCUAGCGUUGCUCGGAAUCACUGGGCGUAAAGGGUGCGUAGGCGGGUCUUUAAGUCAGGGGUGAAAUCCUGGAGCUCAACUCCAGAACUGCCUUUGAUACUGAGGAUCUCGAGUUCGGGAGAGGUGAGUGGAACUGCGAGUGUAGAGGUGAAAUUCGUAGAUAUUCGCAAGAACACCAGUGGCGAAGGCGGCUCACUGGCCCGAUACUGACGCUGAGGCACGAAAGCGUGGGGAGUAAACAGG